rnacentral:rRNA from 1 species
AAGGUAACGGCUUACCAAGGCAACGAUGCAUAGCCGACCUGAGAGGGUGAUCGGCCACACUGGAACUGAGACACGGUCCAGACUCCUACGGGAGGCAGCAGUAGGGAAUCUUCCGCAAUGGGCGAAAGCCUGACGGAGCAACGCCGCGUGAGUGAUGAAGGUCUUCGGAUCGUAAAACUCUGUUAUUAGGGAAGAACAUAUGUGUAAGUAACUGUGCACAUCUUGACGGUACCUAAUCAGAAAGCCACGGCUAACUACGUGCCAGCAGCCGCGGUAAUACGUAGGUGGCAAGCGUUAUCCGGAAUUAUUGGGCGUAAAGCGCGCGUAGGCGGUUUUUUAAGUCUGAUGUGAAAGCCCACGGCUCAACCGUGGAGGGUCAUUGGAAACUGGAAAACUUGAGUGCAGAAGAGGAAAGUGGAAUUCCAUGUGUAGCGGUGAAAUGCGCAGAGAUAUGGAGGAACACCAGUGGCGAAGGCGACUUUCUGGUCUGUAACUGACGCUGAUGUGCGAAAGCGUGGGGAUCAAACAGGAUUAGAUACCCUGGUAGUCCACGCCGUAAACGAUGAGUGCUAAGUGUUAGGGGGUUUCCGCCCCUUAGUGCUGCAGCUAACGC